UACGUAGGGGGCAAGCGUUGUCCGGAAUUAUUGGGCGUAAAGAGCGUGUAGGCGGUCCGGUAAGUCAGCUGUGAAAGUCAAGGGCUCAACCCUUGAAUGCCGGUUGAUACUGUCGGGCUAGAGUCCGGAAGAGGCGAGUGGAAUUCCCGGUGUAGAGGUGAAAUUCGUAGAUAUUAGGAAGAACACCAGUGGCGAAGGCGGCUCACUGGCUCGGUACUGACGCUGAGGCGCGAAAGCGUGGGGAGCAAACAGG
rnacentral:rRNA from 1 species